rnacentral:rRNA from 1 species
UACGAAGGGGGGCUAGCGUUGCUCGGAAUCACUGGGCGUAAAGGGCGCGUAGGCGGCCUUCUAAGUCGAACGUGAAAUCCCCGGGCUCAACCCGGGAACUGCGUCCGAUACUGGAAGGCUUGAAUCCGGGAGAGGGAUGCGGAAUUCCAGGUGUAGCGGUGAAAUGCGUAGAUAUCUGGAGGAACACCGGUGGCGAAGGCGGCAUCCUGGACCGGCAUUGACGCUGAGGCGCGAAAGCCAGGGGAGCAAACGGG